rnacentral:lncRNA from 1 species
GUUGUUGAAUCCUGUAUAAAUAACUGUAUACUGAUUUUACAUGACUUGUAUUUUGAAAUUUUUAUGUUUUAAUUCUUUUACAGUCACUGAAAAGCCCUGGUUUUUUUUUUUAGCACUUAAAGCUGUCCAUCUGCCAAUUUAUAUGCUUCUUUUUGCCAUUUGCAGUAAAUGGCAAAUCAAAAUGGAAGUCGGAGUACUUCCAG